UAGUAACGGCGAGUGAAGCGGCAACAGCUCAAAUUUGAAAUCUGGCUUCGGCCCGAGUUGUAAUUUGCAGAGGAAGCUUUAGGCGCGGCACCUCCUGAGUCCCCUGGAACGGGGCGCCACAGAGGGUGAGAGCCCCGUAUAGUUGGAUGCCUAGCCUGUGUAAAGCUCCUUCGACGAGUCGAGUAGUUUGGGAAUGCUGCUCAAAAUGGGAGGUAAAUUUCUUCUAAAGCUAAAUACCGGCCAGAGACCGAUAGCGCACAAGUAGAGUGAUCGAAAGAUGAAAAGCACUUUGAAAAGAGGGUUAAAUAGCACGUGAAAUUGUUGAAAGGGAAGCGCUUGUGACCAGACUUGCGCCGGGCUGAUCAUCCGGUGUUCUCACCGGUGCACUCUGCCCGGCUCAGGCCAGCAUCGGUUCUCGCGGGGGGAUAAAGGCCCUGGGAACGUAGCUCCUCCGGGAGUGUUAUAGCCCGGGGCGCAAUGCCCUCGCGGGGACCGAGGUUCGCGCUCU
rnacentral:rRNA from 2 species